rnacentral:rRNA from 1 species
AAGAUUUAAUUUUAGUCUCAUAAUAUUAAUUAUAAUUAUUACUUAUAUAUAAAAUUUAAAAAUUUAAAAAAUAAAAAAUUAAUAUAUAAAAUUAAUGAAUAAAAAAAUUUAAUUAAAAAUAAUUUUUAAAUAUAAAUAAAAAUUGUGCCAGCAAUUGCGGUUAUACAAUUUAUAUAAAUUAAUAAAUUUAAUUAUAAAAAAAUUUUAAAUAAUUUUUUAAAAUAUUAAUUAUUUGUUAAAUAAUAAAUUAAUAAAAUAAAAAAUUUAUUAAAUUAAUUGAUUUUAAAUAAAUUUUUCAAAAACUAGGAUUAGAUACCCUAUUAUUAAAUUAAAAAAUUAAAAUUAAAAUAUUAAAUAUUAAUUUAUUAAAUUUAAAAAAAUUGACGGUAUUUUAUAUUUAGAUGAACUUGAAAUUUAAUUUGAUAAUCCACAAUUUAAUAAACUAAUUUUAUAUUUUUAUAUAUUACUGUCUAAAUUUAAUUUUUUAAUUAAAAUUUAAAAUUUUAUAAUAAAAAAAUUCAAGUCAAAAUAUAAAUUAUAAAUUAGAAUAAUUUGAGUUACUUUAAAAUUUAAUAUAUUUUUAAAAAUUUUAAAAAUAAAAUAUUUAAAUAAAUUUAAAUUUAUAAAAAAUUAGAAUUUAAAAAUAAAAAUUUUUAAAUAAAAAUUUUAAAUAUUAAAUAAAAUAUGUACAUAUUGCCCGUCAUUUUUAUAAAAUUUAUAAAACAAGUCGUAACAAAGUAAUUUUACUGGAAAGUAAAAUUAGAAUUUA